GAUGAACGCUGGCGGCGUGCCUAAUACAUGCAAGUCGAGCGAACGGACGAGAAGCUUGCUUCUCUGAUGUUAGCGGCGGACGGGUGAGUAACACGUGGAUAACCUACCUAUAAGACUGGUAUAACUUCGGGAAACCGGAGCUAAUACCGUAUAAUAUUUUGAACCGCAUGGUUCAAAAGUGAAAGACGGUCUUGCUGUCGCUUAUCGAUGGAUCCGCGCUGCAUUAGCUAGUUGGUAAGGUAACGGCUUACCAAGGCAACGAUGCAUAGCCGACCUGAGAGGGUGAUCGGCCACACUGGAACUGAGACACGGACCAGACUCCUACGGGAGGCAGCAGUAGGGAAUCUUCCGCAAUGGGCGAAAGCCUGACGGAGCAACGCCGCGUGAGUGAUGAAGGUCUUCGGAUCGUAAAACUCUGUUAUUAGGGAAGAACAUAUGUGUAAGUAACUGUGCACAUCUUGACGGUACCUAAUCAGAAAGCCACGGCUAACUACGUG
rnacentral:rRNA from 1 species